UUUAUGCGUUAUAUGAGGAACAUGAAGUCAGCAAGAAACAAAAAAGAGACUAAAUUAAAAGACGACAUUGGGUCCAUCCUUUAAAUUUAAAAAGACCAGAAAAUUGUCAGUUCCAGGUGACAUUUAUGACCCUUCGUAGUUAUCCAGAAGAAUUCAUAAAAUAUUAUCGAAUGUCGAUAACAUCGUUUGAUGAGCUGUAUACGUCACUGUCGACACUAUAUAAGGGGAGGCCUGGAGAAGUCUACGACAGACGUGAUUUUACUAUAGUUAGCGCGAGCACCAUUACAUUGAUUGCACACUAUAGAAAAACCUAUUAUAAAUUAAUCAAUCUAUAUGAUUAACUAACAUAAAAUAUACACACUCAACACUUUUUACCCGUCCGAAUUAUUACUUAAAAUGAAUUAAAAGAACACACGGCACCAGUUCGACACUGACUAUCAACGAAUUCGCAGCAAUACAAUUAUUAACAGCCAUCUACCAAACUACACCGCAUACACAGACACGCAGUAGUACUUUAACCCCCAGCUACGGAAAACUUAUCCAUAAGGAAUAGAAGACCAUCCCUGGAUAACUAAUAUCGUAACAAUGUUCUCCCGACCACAUUACAUAUUUAGUGGAAGAUGGAGGCCCCGAAGCUUUGGAGUUUGGACACUUAUAUAUACAAAGUUAUCAAUAAUAUACGUGAAAUCGUAUACGACCCUGUUUGGUUUAUAUCUCUCUGUGUUAAUUAUUUUUAGAACGUAA